rnacentral:rRNA from 1 species
AUACGUAGGUGGCAAGCGUUGUCCGGAUUUACUGGGCGUAAAGGGAGCGUAGGCGGACUUUUAAGUGAGAUGUGAAAUACCCGGGCUCAACUUGGGUGCUGCAUUUCAAACUGGAAGUCUAGAGUGCAGGAGAGGAGAAUGGAAUUCCUAGUGUAGCGGUGAAAUGCGUAGAGAUUAGGAAGAACACCAGUGGCGAAGGCGAUUCUCUGGACUGUAACUGACGCUGAGGCUACGAAAGCGUGGGGAGC